GUCUCUGGGAAGGCAGUGUUGUGGUCUAGAAGAAGAUGAGACUUCUGGGUCUUCUCCUGUGCCUGGUGACAACCCCCCAAGGUGUCGUGUCCCAGGUGCAGCUGCUGGAGUCAGGUCCAGGACUGGUGAAGCCGUCACAGACCCUCUCCCUCACCUGCACGGUCUCUGGAUUCUCCAUCACAACCAGUAGUUAUGACUGGACCUGGAUACGCCAAACCCCAGGGAAGAGGCUGGAGUGGAUGGGGUGCAUAAAUAAUAAUGGAGACACUUACUACAGCCCCUCCCUCAAGAGCCGAACCUCCAUCUCCAGAGACACAUCCAAGAACCAGUUCUCCCUGCAGCUGAGCUCUGUGACCACCGAAGACACUGCUGUGUAUUACUGUUCAAGAGGCACAAGGAAAGUGAGGAAAGAAAACUGGAACUGGCUGAACAUCAACAAGAUGACAACCUAA